AAAUUUUAUGCUGCUAAUUUGAUAGAGGUAUUGAUUUUAAGUGAAAAUAUGCAGGCCGUAAUGUUAUUCUUUCUGAGUCUGGAUCGCUUAAAGUAAUUAAUGAUGGCGUUACAAUUGCUCGAUCCAUGGAGCUUUCAGAUGCAAUUGAGAAUGCAGGAGCAAUGCUAAUCCAAGAGGUUGCAACCAAAAUGAAUGAUUUGGCUGGUGAUGGUACAACUACUGCAAUUGUUUUGGCUCAAGCAAUGAUCAAAUCUGGGAUGCUGGCAGUUGCUUUUGGGUCUAUCCCGGUUUCUUUGAAGAAAGGAAUGGAUAAGACUGUGAAAGAAUUGGUCAAGG